rnacentral:rRNA from 1 species
AUUAGGGUUCGAUUCCGGAGAGGGAGCCUGAGAAACGGCUACCACAUCUAAGGAAGGCAGCAGGCGCGCAAAUUACCCAAUCCUAAUACAGGGAGGUAGUGACAAGAAAUAACAAUACAGGACUUUUUUAGUUUUGUAAUUGGAAUGAGUUAAGUAUAAACCCCUUUACAAGUAUCAAUUGGAGGGCAAGUCUGGUGCCAGCAGCCGCGGUAAUUCCAGCUCCAAUAGCGUAUAUUAAAGUUGUUGCAGUUAAAAAGCUCGUAGUUGGAUUUCUGUUAAUAAUUUAUAUAUAAUAUUUUUAAUAUUUAUAUAAUAUUAACAUAAUUCAUAUUACUAUAUUAUUAUUAGUAUAUGAAAUUUUACUUUGAGAAAAUUAGAGUGCUUAAAGCAGGCAUAUGCCUUGAAUACUCCAGCAUGGAAUAAUAUAAAAGAUUUUUAUCUUUUUUAUUGGUUCUAAGAUAAAAAUAAUGAUUAAUA